GAUGAUUAUGCCCAAGCGGCGGCGGAGUCAAUCCGCGGAGCGUGACUCCAUACAACAAAACAAACAGCCACGGCUGGACGAGCCAAGAAAUUUUCCAACACCUGUUCUGAAGGUUAAAAGAACGGGUAGCACCGUAUGCAUCUAAAAACAGCAAUAUUUAUUAUUACCCACGAGCAAACAAUCAUUUCAGUUGGCAGCGUUUCUGGUCCAGCCUGCGACUGUUCAUACUCGAAGGAAAUGCGUACUUAUUUUUGCUUGUGUGCUUCUUUUUUUUAAAAAGCAUUUUUGGAAGAAAAUGACCUAAUGAUCAGCGUCAGUAAGAUUUGCUGUAGUAUCCAUAACUUCAUUUCGUAAAGGUACAAACAUGUAUGGAAAUAAUUUUCCAUUUUCCUUUACACACGCACAUAUCUAAUGGUGUUGAUUUCAUUACAUUCUUUUGUUAUAAAUUGCCCGUGUUUUUAACGUUACCAUAAAAACGGGUAGUACCGUAUAAUCUAAAACAGAAAUAUCAUUGAUACCCACGUGCAAACAAUAGUUUAAGUUGGCAACGAUUCUGGUCCAGCUUGCGACUGUUCACACUUGAAGGACACGUUAAAUAUACAUAAUAGUUUCAGAAAGUUUUCGUACAUAAGAUCAGUAUUUUUUAAAUUUUGCUUAUGCUUUAAUUUUAACUAUGAUUUCAAAUUCGUUCUUUUUUUUUUUUAAAGAAAAUUCUCAACUCAUGUCUUGAAUAUUCCCGUAAUGAAAAUCACCGUAUAAUUCAGAAAAAAACAGAACCCAUUUAUAGUGACGUAUGAACAAUUACUUAAGUUGGCAGCGUUUCUCACCUGUUUCGGCUUACAAUAUGAAGGAAUUGCGUGCUUGGUACUCGAUGUGAAUAUGUGAUUCGACUUUUGCACAACAAGCAAUUCUAAAGACCGUUAUGAUUCAAAUUUCAGACACUCAUUAUGUUGUUAUUGAAUUUCUUUAUAUCAAGUCCCUGGCCAUGCCGCUUUUUAAUUUCACAUGUUUGCCAUGAUUUAUUAGAACCACUUAAAAUGUGUCUGACCUCUAGUAGGCCCUCGAUGUCACCGUAAAUAACUAUUUUGUGUCGGUCAGUUCACCACCGGAGCCAUUCUUAGCAGUUUUGUUUAACUCAGUGCAAUUUCGUCUAUAAUUCCUGUAAAUCUUGUCGAGAUGCAUUGAAGUACUUCGGAAUUCAUUAAAACACGUAUUUAAUACUGUCCGGAAUAC